AGAGCGAACGCUGGCGGAAUGCUUAACACAUGCAAGUCGCACGGGCAGCAAUGUCAGUGGCGGACGGGUGAGUAUCGCGUAGGAAUAUGUCCGGAGGUGGGGGACAACCCUGGGAAACUGGGGCUAAUACCGCAUAUGAGCUGAGGCUCAAAGCAGUGAUGCGCCUUUGGAGUAGCCUGCGUCCGAUUAGCUAGUUGGCGAGGUAACGGCUCACCAAGGCGACGAUCGGUAGCUGGCCUGAGAGGAUGAUCAGCCAGACUGGGACUGAGAACGGCCAGACUCCUACGGGAGCAGCAGUCGGAAUUUGCCAAUGGACGAAAGUCUGAGGCAGCAACGUCCGCGUGGAGGAUGAAGGCCGUUCGGGUCGUAAACCUCUUUCCCGAGGAA
rnacentral:rRNA from 1 species